CGUAUCUCAAUUUGAUAGCCCUGGAGCUGUUACUAUCUGCUAUUAAGGUUUCCACUACAGGUGCCAGAAAAAGUGUUCUUAUACUUUCCGUCUGUCUGAUUGUGGCAGCACAGAGUGAAUGAGGGAAUACAGGG
rnacentral:snoRNA from 1 species